CUCAGGCAAGAUAAAAUUGCAUCCUAAGUACUGUACUCUCUUUGAGGGGGCUCUUGGCAUGAGUGAGUUCAAAUGGAUUCUGAAACCCUGAGCAAGGAAGAAGUGAUUCUGUGCAUGCUUUGUGAUUGAGGCCCUGCCCUGAACAUAAGCACAAAAGUGUGUGCAGAUGCACAGGAGGCAGAGAUUCAACUCUGGACAGAAAACUCUUGCCCGACAUUCAUCUCAGUAUUAUCUUCCCUUAAACAAAGGAUAGGGAGGUGGAGAAGCCUGGGAUUGGAGCCUCAUACAAAUACAAGGUAAUAGGUUGCUGUCACUUCAUUGG
rnacentral:lncRNA from 1 species